UGGGUAGAAUGAAACACCCACUCUUUACAUAACAUGAUUUUUUUUCAGUUAAUGACUAGACUUUAAGUAAAUGUGAUCAAUUUGACUCAUGUUAUAAUGGAAAUUGAAUCAUUGUUAAAAAUGCUUGACAUACAUAUUUAACAUUAACUGUUCUCUGAUAUAAUUAAGAUAAUUAUUUAUUUAAUAUUAUGAUGUCUUAGUGGAGCGUCAUAUAUUUCGAGGCAUUGAGUGACUGAUUCUUUUCUUCAGGUGAAAUCUUGGAGAAUUAGAAGACCUCGAAGGAGAUUGAUGCUUGUAGUUUUUGCAUCAGCCUUAUAUAAACUGUGUUGCCAUGAAACAAAUGUGACAAUGAAUAUGGAAAUGCUUCAGUGAUGUGUUGUGUUGUGUUGUUGAGAUAUGAAGAAAAUGGAUCCAGUACUGGUCAUGAUACAUAGCACAAGUGCAUCUGAAUGACAGUGGAAAUGUCACUGCCAGACCAUGACAUCACUUUUUAGAUGGGUUCAUCCUCGAAGUGACACAUGCUUUUGUGCCUCAUCCCACUUGUAGCUUCCUCUUCGAGCCGGCGUGAUUUUCUUUCUUCUCUGCCAUCUAUGCUAUCGUCAUUAUUCUUACCAAUUAUGCAUGUGGCUUCCAUUUGACAAAGGAAGUAAAAAUGCUCACUGUUUGGUUUGCAUGAAAUUUUUCACUUAUUAUUGUAAGAUAAGAAAAUGUGAUGUAGUAGUUGAUUUAAAUUAUAAUGGAAUUUGAUGGCUGUUAAAGAAUAAUUUAGGUACAUAUUUGGUUGUACAAUGUUCCCUCUUAUAGUGAGGGUAAAUAACAUUUGUCAUUCUUAUGUUUUAGCUGCACGUCAAUAUAUAUUUCUGUGAAGCAAGUGCAUUUGUUGUCCUUCAGGCCAUAUUCUGGAGACUAAUAUAGAAUGGGAAGUUGCUGGUUGUGGUAGUCCUUGUCACCCUGAAUAGAAGUCAGCCGGAAUGUGUAAUUUCAGACCGAAUGAGCAGGCAAAUUAUUGGAAACUGGUGAAGGGUGUUGGAGAAAAUUGAUCUACUACAGAGUACGUAACAGAGACAUAUGUGGUCAUAGUGACAGUGGAAAUUUUACCUCCACAAUCUUCCAUCAUUUACGAGCCCGAACACAUGAAAAUGGUGAAAACUUCGUGAAAUCAUCAGGGAAGAUCGACGACGGACCAUUGAAGGAAUUGUGGAGCUGUCGGGAGUGACUCUGAGCUCAGUUCAGCGAAUUUUGACAGAAGAUUUUGGAAUGAAACGGGUGGCUGCCACCCGUGCCACGACUGCUGACUGCUGAACAAAAACAAGGUGCGUGGAAGCAU